rnacentral:ncRNA from 2 species
AUGAUCCACGUGGGAGAGGCCGCAGUCCUUAGGGAUGGGCGGACGCCGAAGGAGCAACCACCCCGGAAACUCUCAGGCAAAAGGACCGCGUGGAGAUG